AGAAUAAUUUUACUUAAAAUGUUUACAAAUGCUUAAGAAUUUUACCCAUACACAUAAAUGGAAGCAGUUUUUUUUAUUAUUAAGUGUGGUAUUCAGGUUAGAAAAAGUACCUCUCAAAGCGGAUUUCAGGCCCAAAAGGCCUGAGCUACAUCUGUCUGAUUGGUGUGUAACUAUCACACUGAAAAGAAAAAUCAAGCACAGCGAAUGGCAAACACAUAGUAAGUGUUCUAUAUAUAGUUGAUAAAAUUCUUUUAGUCAAUUCUCCUAUAUUGACUGCCUACUUUCUCCAGUUUGCUUUCUAAUCAUCAUCAGUUCACAUAUUUCUUAGGAAAGCUUUUUUUUUUGUCUCCCUUACCCUUGUCUCAAAAAGUCAAAGCCCCAUUACAAUUUUCUAUAAUACUCUGUGUACUCGUUAACAAGGAAUUAAUUGCUUGUUCAAUGUCUGACUGGCUCCACCAUUAGAAUGUUCCACAGGGGAAGGGAGCUGGCCUGUCUUGUUGACAGCUAUAUCUUUAUUACCUCUCACAAGUCUAGCACAAAGUAACUGUUCAAUAAACAUCAACUGUAGCAUCUCAAUGGUAAAUUCAAAAAUUAUGGAGCAAAACUAGAGGAAUAUGUUUUAACAUAUUAUCUAAUGAGAGCAUUUUCUUUCUUUUUUUUUAUGAGAGCAUUUUCUAUCAUCACAGCUGGGCAACCAGAAGCUAGUCCAGCAACUGGGAGUCAAGUUAAGAAGAGGGAUUCAAGUAGCAGAUCACCAUUAGAGCAUGAGGCCUGAGAAGAUAUGGAGAACAAUGCUAAUCCCACCUCCUGAUGAUAAAGUCCAUGGAAUGGCUAGAUCUGGUGACCAUCCCCAGGAUCUCACCCAGAUUCUCAGGAAACAGAUCUAGCUAGCAAAAUGAUUCUCAACCAGAAGAAUGCAAAUCACUGCUAGAAGUAACCCCAAUGUGUGUUCAAUUCAACACAAAGGCUAUCAGAGUUGUUCAGUAAAAAGCAGACUCCUAAGCCACAUAAAUACACAAACAUACUCACAAAACCAUCUGCCUUACAGAUUACAACACAUUAAACAGAUUAGGAAAUAUUCUGAAAAAUCCAGGGCCCUGGCUGGUGAUUUAAAUUACUUUAAAAUGGGAUAAAAAAGAAACAGAUAUAUCAACAAGUCUGCAUGCUCAUAAGUCAUCUAAAAUCUAGUGCAAAGUUUAUAUUCACUUACCACAUUUUAACUUAGAAGACAGAUGCCUGGUGAAAAGGACAUUGGUCUGAGUUAGAGCUGGAUUCAAAUCCCAGAUUUUCCACUAUCUUUGUUUAAUUAACUACUUUAUGCCUAGUUCCUGAAAUGGGGCAAAAAUAACCAUCUUGUUCAAUAUGCAUUUGGAGACUAUACAAAAAUCACCUACUUUGUGGAAAGUGAUCGAUAAGUCUAGGAAAUUUCUUUAACUCAAAGAAAGAUCCAGUUGACAAGCUUUUCUCCAAUAGGCAUUUGGCAAAAAGAAAAAUAUCAGUGACUCCUCAAUCUGUGAAUACAGUGACAGGUUAAAAAGUUACUUAUCUUUUUCUUUAUUUACUAUUUUGACUAUAAAAGUAUGUAUUUACACAAAAUAAUUUUAAAAUUUGAGUACCCAUUUUUUUUUUUUACAAAUGUGAACAAAUUUUAUGGGUAAUGCCAGUAAACAAAUUCAAGCCUCAAACACUAGCUAAUUGUAAUCUACAAUAUGUCUUUUACAAAAAUAGGUAAAUGUUAUUCUAGGAAUGUUUUAAAUUAAUUUGACAGUAGGAAGGCAGCAUGGUUUAAUAAAGACCUGGAUCCUGGUCAGGGAUCGACAACCACUCAGUCUAUUUUGAAGCCUCAGCAGCCCACAGGCAAAAUUAAGGUGAGGCCCUUAAAAGGUAAAAUUCUACAACUGUAAUAAAAAAAUCAUAUCUUUCCACCAAACAGAAAUUAUACACACAAAUAUCCUUCAUGAUCUGCCACUCCAACUUUAUCUCUUGCUUCUCGUCCUACUCCACCCUACAGUGUACUAGUAUACUCCAUCCAUACCGAACAAUAGGCAUAUGUUGUUUUAUUGCACUUUGCUUUAUUGAGCUUCAGAAAGGUUGCCUUUUUUAGAAAUUGAAGGCAAGACCCCACACACAGACCAGCAAAAAGAUGGUGACUCGUUU